rnacentral:rRNA from 1 species
AUUGAACGCUGGCGGCAGGCCUAACACAUGCAAGUCGAACGAGUGGCGGACGGGUGAGUAAUGUCUGGGAAACUGCCUGAUGGAGGGGGAUAACUACUGGAAACGGUAGCUAAUACCGCAUACCCUCGGUUUUGCCCAUAUGGGAUUCGCUAGUAGGUGGGGUAAAGGCUCACCUAGGCGACGAUCCCUCGCUGGUCUGAGAGGAUGACCAGCCACACGGGAACUGAGACACGGUCCAGAAUCAUACGGGAGGCAGGAGUGGGGAAUAUUGCACAAUGGGCGCAAGCCUGAUGCAGACAGGCCGCGUGUAUGAAGAAGGCCUUAGGGUUGUAAAGUACUUUAAGCGGGGAGGCGGGAAGCGAAGAAGAAGCACCGGCUAACUCCGUGCCAGCAGCCGCGGUAAUAG